rnacentral:lncRNA from 1 species
GCAAGGGGAAGGUAUUAGCACCCCUCACGUCCGUCGUACUCGACGGGAUCCACGCUCUAAGAAAAGAAAAGGUUGCUAAAAUACCACACACACACACACGCACCGAAGACAACACAGGUGGGGUUAAGAGGAAGAGAGCUCGAUAAGACGUCGCAUCCUAUGCCUACGUAUCUCGUCGGGAACGAGAAUCAGAGCUGCCGUAGUUCGGCUCACGCACGCCA